GAGGUUUGAGUGUUUUGGUGGAAGUAGUUUUCCUUUACUUCCCAGACUCUCAUUCCAGC
ensembl:miRNA